rnacentral:rRNA from 1 species
AGAACGAACGCUGGCGGCAGGCUUAACACAUGCAAGUCGAACGCACUCUUCGGAGUGAGUGGCAGACGGGUGAGUAACGCGUGGGAACGUACCCUUCAGUUCGGAAUAACCCAGGGAAACUUGGGCUAAUACCGGAUACGUCCGCAAGGAGAAAGAUUUAUCGCUGAAGGAUCGGCCCGCGUCGGAUUAGCUAGUUGGUGGGGUAAAGCCUACCAAGGCGACGAUCCGUAGCUGGUCUGAGAGGAUGAUCAGCCACACUGGGACUGAGACACGGCCCAGACUCCUACGGGAGCAGCAGUGGGAAUAUGGACAAUGGGCGAAAGCCUGAUCCAGCCAUGCCGCGUGAGUGAAGAAGGCCUUAAGGGCUGUAAAGCUACUUUCGAGCGGGACGAUAAUGACGGUACCGCAAGAAGAACGCCCGGACUAACUCGACGCCAGCAGCCGC